UACCAGCACCCCGAGUGGUCGGGACGAUUAUUGGGCCUAAAGCAUCCGUAGCCGGUUCUGCAAGUCCCCCGUUAAAUCCAGCUGCUCAACAGAUGGGCCGCGGAGGAUACUACAGAGCUAGGAGGCAGGAGAGGCAAGCGGUACUCAGUGGGUAGGGGUAAAAUCCGUUGAUCCAUUGAAGACCACCAGUGGCGAAGGCGGCUUGCCAGAAUGCGCUCGACGGUGAGGGAUGAAAGCUGGAGGAGCAAACCGG
rnacentral:rRNA from 1 species